rnacentral:rRNA from 1 species
ACGAACGCUGGCGGCGUGCCUAAUACAUGCAAGUAGAACGCUGAAGAGAGGAGCUUGCUCUUCUUGGAUGAGUUGCGAACGGGUGAGUAACGCGUAGGUAACCUGCCUUGUAGCGGGGGAUAACUAUUGGAAACGAUAGCUAAUACCGCAUAACAAUGGAUGACACAUGUCAUUUAUUUGAAAGGGGCAAUUGCUCCGCUACAAGAUGGACCUGCGUUGUAUUAGCUAGUAGGUGAGGUAAUGGCUCACCUAGGCGACGAUACAUAGCCGACCUGAGAGGGUGAUCGGCCACACUGGGACUGAGACACGGCCCAGACUCCUACGGGAGGCAGCAGUAGGGAAUCUUCGGCAAUGGGGGCAACCCUGACCGAGCAACGCCGCGUGAGUGAAGAGGGUUUUCGGAUCGUAAAGCUCUGUUGUAAGUCAAGAACGGGUGUGAGAGUGGAAAGUUCACACUGUGACGGUAGCUUACCAGAAAGGGACGGCUAACUACGUG